rnacentral:rRNA from 1 species
GAGACCUCAGGUCAGGCGGGACUACCCGCUGAGUUUAA